CACCGAUUUGCUUCCCCUUUUUCCGUGCGCGGAGAAAAAAAUCCCCAGAAACAUAAUAUCAGGAUGCUCUCUAUCUCUGUCUCUGUCUAACGCUUAAUUGUUGCUCAAUUGCGAAUUAAUGUCUGGGGCUUUUUUUCUCCGUGCAGUGCCAUAGCCGUAACCACAACCU
ensembl:ncRNA mir-4955 mir-4955 stem loop